rnacentral:rRNA from 1 species
CCUACGGGAGGCAGCAGUGGGGAAUUUUGGACAAUGGGCGCAAGCCUGAUCCAGCAAUGCCGCGUGCAGGAUGAAGGCCUUCGGGUUGUAAACUGCUUUUGUACGGAACGAAACGGUUCGCUUUAAUACAGUGGGCUAAUGACGGUACCGUAAGAAUAAGCACCGGCUAACUACGUGCCAGCAGCCGCGGUAAUACGUAGGGUGCAAGCGUUAAUCGGAAUUACUGGGCGUAAAGCGUGCGCAGGCGGUUAUAUAAGACAGAUGUGAAAUCCCCGGGCUCAACCUGGGACCUGCAUUUGUGACUGUAUGGCUAGAGUACGGUAGAGGGGGAUGGAAUUCCGCGUGUAGCAGUGAAAUGCGUAGAUAUGCGGAGGAACACCGAUGGCGAAGGCAAUCCCCUGGACCUGUACUGACGCUCAUGCACGAAAGCGUGGGGAGCAAACAGGAUUAGAUACCCUGGUAGUCCACGCCCUAAACGAUGUCAACUGGUUGUUGGGUCUUCACUGACUCAGUAACGAAGCUAACGCGUGAAGUUGACCGCCUGGGGAGUACGGCCGCAAGGUUGAAACUCAAAUGAAUUGACGG